UCUGCAUGAUGUCUAUUCUGACCAGC
rnacentral:piRNA from 1 species